GAUGAAGAACGUAGCGAAAUGCGAUAAUUAGUGUGAAUUGCAGAAUUCCGUGAAUCAUCGAGUCUUUGAACGCACAUUGCGCCUCAUGGCAUUCCGUGAGGCAUGCCCAUCUCAGCGUUAGAAAAUAUUCUCAAAUUUUAGUUUUGUGCUAAAAUUUGGAUCAUGUCAAGGAAGCUAUUACUAUUAUUGUGAUCGCUCUUUGGAAAUUGAUAGGUCUUUGAGUUGCUACUCAUAGAACGUGAUGAAUCUUUCUUCGUUCUAUUGUAAUUCACUCUGGUAGUCCUAAAACUUGUAUGCCUGUGGCAUAUCUUGUAAUUUGACCUGAGAUUGGGUAGGGAUACCCGCUGAACUUAAGCAUAUCAAUAAGCGGAGGA
rnacentral:misc_RNA from 1 species